AGAGUUUGAUCCUGGCUCAGAACGAACGCUGGCGGCGGGGUUUAGGCAUGCAAGUCGCGGGAGAAAGCCUUCGGGUGAGUAUACCGGCGGAAGGGUGAGUAAUAUGUAGUUAACGUACCUUGAGGAGGGGGAUAAUUCUGGGAAACUGGUUGUAAUACCCCAUGAGACCACGGUGUUUACGGGCACAGGGGUUAAACGGGCGGGACCGUUCGCGGCCGCCUGCCUCAUGAGCGGACUACAUCUGAUUAGCUUGUUGGUGGGGUAACGGCUCACCAAGGCGACGAUCAGUAGCCGGCCUGAGAGGGUGUUCGGCCACACUGGGACUGAGACACUGCCCAGACUCCUACGGGAGGCUGCAGUCGCGAAUCAUUCACAAUGAACGCAAGUUUGAUGAUGCCACGCCGCGUGUAGGAAGAAGGCCUUCGGGUUGUAAACUACUGUCAGUUGAGGGGAAGUAUAGUUGUUAAAUAGAUAGCUAUUUGACUGCUCAUCAGAGGAAGCCCCGGCUAAACACGUGCCAGCAGCCGCGGUAAUACGUGUGGGGCGAGCGUUGUUCGGAAUUACUGGGCAUAAAGGGUCCGUAGGCGGUUUGCUAAGUCAGGGGUGAAAAUUCGGGGCCCAACCUCGAACUUGCCUUUGAUACUGGUGAACUUGAGUCCAUUAGGGGUGAGCGGAACGUGUGGUGUAGCGGUGAAAUGCGUAGAUAUCACACGGAAGGCCGGAGGCGAAGGCGGCUCACUGGGAUGGUACUGACGCUGAGGGACGAAAGCGUGGGGAGCAAACAGGAUUAGAUACCCUGGUAGUCCACGCC
rnacentral:rRNA from 1 species